AAUAAACGCUGGCGGCGUGCCUAACACAUGCAAGUCGAGCGAGAAAGUUCCUUCGGGAGCAAGUAAAGCGGCGGACGGGUGAGUAACGCGUGAGAAUUUACCCUUUAGUGAGGAAUACCUCUGAGAAAUCAGGGCUAAUACUGCAUAAGUCCCUACGGGGAGAAAGGUGGCCUAUUUGCUGCCGCUAAAAGGAUAAGCUUGCGGGCUAUUAGCUAGUUGGUGAGGUAAAGGCUCACCAAGGCGAUGAUGGCUAGCCGGCCUGAGAGGGUGUACGGCCACACUGGAACUUAGACACGGUCCAGACUCCUACGGGAGGCAGCAGUGAGGAAUAUUGCGCAAUGGGCGAAAGCCUGACGCAGCGACGCCGCGUGGAGGAUGAAGGUCUUCGGAUUGUAAACUUCUGUUAAGUGGGAAGGAAGAUUUAUCCCUAAUAUGGAUAAGGAUGACGGUACCAUUAGAGAAAGCACCGGCUAACUUCGUGCCAGCAGCCGCGGUAAUCUGAGUCGGAGAC
rnacentral:rRNA from 1 species